UUACUGGGCGUAAAGCGAGCGCAGACGGUUACUUAAGCAGGAUGUGAAAUCCCCGGGCUCAACCUGGGAACUGCGUUCUGAACUGGGUGACUAGAGUGUGUCAGAGGGAGGUAGAAUUCCACGUGUAGCAGUGAAAUGCGUAGAGAUGUGGAGGAAUACCGAUGGCGAAGGCAGCCUCCUGGGAUAACACUGACGUUCAUGCUCGAAAGCGUGGGUAGCAAACAGGAUUAGAUACCCUGGUAGUCCACGCCCUAAACGAUGUCAAUUAGCUGUUGGGCAACUUGAUUGCUUAGUAGCGUAGCUAACGUGUGAAAUUGACCGCCUGGGGAGUACGGUCGCAAGAUUAAAACUCAAAGGAAUUGACGGGGACCCGCACAAGCGGUGGAUGAUGUGGAUUAAUUCGAUGCAACGCGAAGAACCUUACCUGGUCUUGACAUGUACGGAAUCCUCCAGAGACGGAGGAGUGCCUUCGGGAACCGUAACACAGGUGCUGCAUGGCUGUCGUCAGCUCGUGUCGUGA
rnacentral:rRNA from 1 species